rnacentral:rRNA from 1 species
UAGCUUGACUGCGAGCGUGACGGCGCGAGCAGGUGCGAAAGCAGGUCAUAGUGAUCCGGUGGUUCUGAAUGGAAGGGCCAUCGCUCAACGGAUAAAAGGUACUCCGGGGAUAACAGGCUGAUACCGCCCAAGAGUUCAUAUCGACGGCGGUGUUUGGCACCUCGAUGUCGGCUCAUCACAUCCUGGGGCUGAAGUAGGUCCCAAGGGUAUGGCUGUUCGCCAUUUAAAGUGGUACGCGAGCUGGGUUUAGAACGUCGUGAGACAGUUCGGUCCCUAUCUGCCGUGGGCGCUGGAGAAUUGAGGGGGGCUGCUCCUAGUACGAGAGGACCGGAGUGGACGCAUCACUGGUGUUCGGGUUGUCAUGCCAAUGGCACUGCCCGGUAGCUAAAUGCGGAAGAGAUAAGUGCUGAAAGCAUCUAAGCACGAAACUUGCCCCGAGAUGAGUUCUCCCUGAGACUAUAAGUCUCCUGAAGGAACGUUGAAGACGACGACGUUGAUAGGCCGGGUGUGUAAGCGCAGCGAUGCGUUGAGCUAACCGGUACUAAUGAACCGUGAGGCUUAACCUUACAACGCCGAAG